GUAAGUGAUGACAUAUAAAUCUUCUUUGCUGCAUAAAAACUCAGUGUUUGUUUCCCAGGUGAUGCAGUAAUUUUGCAGUGUUAAAAUCUGGGCAUUGUGAACAAAGAAGACCUGCAAUUAAUCCCUGCAUUCUUGUGGGUAUGGAAAAUGCACAUACAAUACACUGAUCCCACCUGACUUUUUGUACAAAAUAAGGAGAAAUUUGCUUCUUUUUUUGCUCCUCCUUCUGUAAUAAAGUAACAAAUGGCUCUUCAGCUAAAAUGCAUUCACCAGUAUACAUUCCUCUUUUUUUCAGGUACUUGGGCUACAGGAAUGAUUAGAAAAGACUCAUCUAAUGCUGAAGCAGCUCAGCUGGAAAUGGUUUGGGGAAUCUUGGAAUGGAUCAAAACAGACCACAAUGGUUAGAAACAUCUCUGAGCAAGUAAGGAGACAUCAGGAAACUUGUAGCAGAAUGGACUGAAACUGAAUAGGUCUGAGAAUCAGGGAUUAGGGAUGGCAGCUCAGAUCUAUUUAGGUGAACAGAAUAGUUCAGGGAGGCUGAUACGGUUAAGAUAGCUCAGGAUAAGGUAGGCUAGCAUUGUAGUGUUAGGACAGUGAGCUGAGAAAAGAAAUUGCCUCUGUGUGCUAAUGAAUGCACUAAGAGCUUGUACCAUCCA
ensembl:lncRNA